CCAGACGGUUGGACGGCCGCCGUUCCGGGCAACCGGGGCGGAGGAAAGUCCGGGCUCCACGGAAACACGGUGCCGGUUAACGACCGGCGGGGGCGACCCCAGGGACAGUGCCACAGAAAACAAACCGCCCGCGCGUGCAAACCCGCGGGCAAGGGUGAAACGGUGCGGUAAGAGCGCACCGCGCCUGCGGUAACGUAGGCGGCAGGGUAAACCCCACCGGGAGCAAGACCGAAUAGGGGUGGCCGGCGGCGUGAGCGAUCAUGGCCGCGGGGGUGUUUUCGACCCGUCACCCGGGUUGGUCGCGCGAGGCGCGCAGCAAUGCGCGUCCCAGACGAAUGGCCGUCCACCAUCCGCGAGGAUGCGGACAGAACCCGGCUUACAGACCGUCUGGCAUC
rfam:Acidiphilium rubrum strain ATCC 35905 genome assembly, contig: Ga0104712_102